rnacentral:rRNA from 1 species
CAUGCAAGUCGAGCGGUAGCACAGAGAGCUUGCUCUCGGGUGACGAGCGGCGGACGGGUGAGUAAUGUCUGGGAAACUGCCUGAUGGAGGGGGAUAACUACUGGAAACGGUAGCUAAUACCGCAUAACGUCGCAAGACCAAAGAGGGGGACCUUCGGGCCUCUUGCCAUCAGAUGUGCCCAGAUGGGAUUAGCUAGUAGGUGGGGUAACGGCUCACCUAGGCGACGAUCCCUAGCUGGUCUGAGAGGAUGACCAGCCACACUGGAACUGAGACACGGUCCAGACUCCUACGGGAGGCAGCAGUGGGGAAUAUUGCACAAUGGGCGCAAGCCUGAUGCAGCCAUGCCGCG